GGCGUAGCGCAGUCUGGUAGCGCGUCUGCUUUGGGAGCAGAAAGCCGUAGGUUCAAAUCCUAUCGCC
rnacentral:tRNA from 2 species